UGGGUAACCUGCCUCAAAGAGGGGAAUAGCCUCCCGAAAGGGGAGAUUAAUACCGCAUAAUAUGUUUAGGUCGCAUGACUUUAACAUCAAAGGAUUUUCUUUUAGAAAUUCCACUUUGAGAUGGACCCCGCGGCGCAUUAGCUAGUUGGUGAGGUAACGGCUCACCAAGGCAACGAUGCGUAGCCGACCUGAGAGGGUGAUCGGCCACAUUGGAACUGAGACACGGUCCAGACUCCGUAGGGAGG
rnacentral:rRNA from 1 species